CUACUCUUGCACGAAUUUCAUGCAUCAGGCCUCUAAUUUGAAAGACUCCUCUGUCACUCCUUGGAAACACGUAAGCAGAAAACGGGACGGAGAAACCACCCCCGCGUAAAGAAAAGAGCAGCCGCUGUUCUUCCGCUGGAAUCGAACCCGGGACCCUUCAGUCCACAGGCUGAUGCUCUAUCCACUGAGCCAAACCAGUGAGGGCUGAUUUCCUGAGUCUUAACAAAGAUGAGACCACAGCACCAGGAGAGAAGAGAAUGAUGAAAUGUUGGCAAACUGGU